CUCAAAGAUUAAGCCAUGCAAGUGGUUAGCAACCUUGACGGUUUGAAUGAGUGUUUUAAAUUAAAAUAAAUGAUUUUAAAAAAUCACACAUGCAACUGCAGACAGCUGCUUAAUACAGUCACACUUGUCUUGACACGGCAAAAAAAUAUUAAAAACUUUUAUUUUGGAUAACUACGAGAAAUCGUGGCUAAUACAUACAAAAACUACUAGUAAAAUAUAAGUAAAAAAAAAAAAAAAAAAAAAUAAAAAUAAAAUUUAUUUUUAUUUUUUUUUUAUUUUUAAAAUUGAAUAUAAAAGUAAAUAUCUAGGCGCGCGAUCCGGUUGCAGUUUUUGGGUCUUGAGUUCCGCAGGUGGCACAGCUACAGACACCGAUACAGAUACAGGAAUUUUAUAUGUAUAUAUUAAAAGAUAAAUAAUUUUUUUUUUUUUUUUAAUAUAAUAUAUUUGUAAAAUAUAUUAUAUUUUUAAACAAAAAAAAACAUAAAAAACAUAACAAAAAACAUAAAUUUUUAUUAUAUUAAAAAAUAAAAAAAAUUAUUUAUAAUAUAUACAUAUAGAACAAAUUUCACCUGCCGAACUGAGGACAGGGUAGGGUGUGGGCGUGGGCGGGGACUUGGUCCUAGUAAGGAAGGACCAUAAGUACUUUUAUAUUUAUAAUAAAAAUAAAAAAAAAAUAAAAAUAUAUAAAUAAAAUAAAAAAAAAAAAAGAAUAAAAAUAAAAUUUUAUUUUUAUUUUUUUUUUUUUUUUUUUUUUUAAUUUUGUAAGCACUUGUUGGCACAGUCACGCACGACAUUUAUUUUUAGGUUCGCUUAAUUUUAAGUGUCGAUGCACGGGUCCUUAUUUUCUUUUUUUUUUCUUUUAAAAAAAAAGAAAUAAGAUGCCUUAUGUGACUGUCUUUUUUUUUAAAAAUGCAACAUGAGAGACAACAAGCACGUUAUAUCUUUUUUUUAAAAAGUUAUAGCUGAGCAGACUUACAAGGUACAAUACUUGUAAGCAGGUCAUACAAGCAUCUACAGCAUCAGCCUUGUGUUGGCAAGUGUAUUUUUGGACCUCGAAAGCAGUCACGCAUACGGAGGAGUCGUUUCUGAUCCCAUAGAAGGAGCACCGUACGAUGAGAGACCGCUCUUAGUUCUAAGGAACGCAGCAGGCGCGUAAAUUGCCCAAUGUUAGUCCCCUAUAUAAAAAUAGAAUAACAUUGUUGGAAAAAAAUAAAAAAAAAGUAAUUUUUAAAAAUAAAAAAAAUAUAUUUUUAAAAAUACACUCUUAUGAAAUAUCUUAAUCUUUAUUUAUUUUUAAAUAAAAAAAAUAAAUAAAAAAAUAAAAAAAUAAAAAAAAAUAAAAAAAGUAAAAAUUUGCUUUUUUUAUUUUUUUUUUUACCUUAACCUUGUCACAUAUAUAUAUGUGUUUUUUUUAUUUUUAUUUUUAUUUUAAAAUUAAAAAAAAAAAAAUAAAAAUAAAAAUAAAAAAAAAUUAUAUCUAUUUUUCUACCUCAACGAGGCAGUGACAAGCUGUAACAACAUGAGUAAUAAAUACUAUCAAAAGUUUGACAAUGCCUUUUUUUUAAAGAUGCACAGUCGACUUUUUAAGUGCUCAGUUGGAAUGCGGUGAACUUAAGCAAUUCAGAAUCUAUUGGCGUAUUUUUUUUAAAAAUACUAACCUUUGUAUCUGAACUUCAAGUGGAGGGCAAGUCUGGUGCCAGCAGCCGCGGUAAUACCAGCUCCACUAGCCUAUGCAAUCAUUGUUGCGGUUAAGAGGCUCGUAGUUGGAUUGAACAUUUUUAUAAACAGAUAAAACCGGAAUAAAAUUUUUUUUUUUUUUUUUUUAUUUUUAUUUUUUUUUAAUUUUAAAUAUCAGGCCCUUUUGGAUGUGUACUCUGGGAGGAUCACCUGGUAUUUAUUUAUUUAAUUAAAAAAAAAAAUAAAAAAAAAAAAAAAUUACUUUUAUUUUUUUAUUUUAUGAGCUCUUUGUUAAGUCUAUUGUUUUUUUUUUAAAAAAUAAAAAUUAACAAUCGGACCUUUUAGUACCGCAUUUAACUAUGCUAAAAUAAAAAAUAAAAAAAAAGAAUAAAGUGAAUCAUUUUAUUUUUUUUUUUUAUUUUUUAUUUUAUGUGUGCUUUGUUACGUCGGUUAGGCCUUUUAGCGCCGCAUUUAACUAUGCUAAAAUAAAAAAAUAAAAAAAAAGAAUAAAGUGAAUCAUUUUAUUUUUUUUUUUAUUUUUUUAUUUUAUGUGCGCUUUGUUAAGCCUAUUGUUUUUUUUUUAAAAAAUAAAAAUAAAAAAAUAACAAUCGGACCUUUUAGUACCGCAUUUAACUAUGCUAAAAUAAAAAAUAAAAAAAAAGAAUAAAAUGUAUAAUUUUAUUUUUUUUUUUUAUUUUUAUUUUAUGUGUGCUUUGUUACGUCUGUUAGACCUUUUAGAGCCGCAUUUAACUAUGCUAAAAUAAAAAAAUAAAAAAAUAAAAAUAAAAAAACAAUUUGUAUUAUUAAUUAAAUAAAAAAACAAAAAAAUUAAAAUAAAUAAAAAUAAAAAAAAAAGAAAAAAAAAAUUAGGAUAGUCUUAUGAUUGGAAUAAAUAUUCCAACACUGUGAACAAAUCAGAGUGUACAAAACAUGUCGGAUAGUCUCUGUAAAGUGCAUUGAAUGCCUUAUCAUGGAACGUUGCAUCAUUUAACUUUGAUGAUUUUUGUGAACACAAUGCCAGUUGCUUUUUUUUUAUUUUUAAUCUGGUAGCCUUCCUCCGCUAAGCGGCCCAUAAGGCUACCAGGUACAAGUUAAAAAUAAAAAAAAAUAUUGGAUUUUUUUUUUUAUUUAAAAUAAAAAAAAAAAAAUAAAAAAAUAAAAAAAAUAAAAAAAAAUAAAAAAAUAAAAAAAUAAAAAAUAAAAUCCCAAUGUUGGGCGUGGAAUCAAAAAGUCAAAUUGUGUCGAUGGGGAUAGUUGGAGUGAGGAGUACUGCUUGGCGAGCGGUGAAAUGCGUUGACCCUAGCAAGACUACCAGUGGCGAAAGCGCCUUUCACUAGGCUAUUCUCUUUGUAUUUUUUUUAUUUUUUUUUAAAAUAAGAUAAAAAAAAUAAAAAAAAUAAAAAAAAAAAAAAAAUAAAUAAAAAUUUUUAUUUUUUUUAUUUUUUUUUUUUUAUAUUGGAAAAAAAUAAAAUAUGUGUCUAGUAUUAGCACAUACAAUGAAGAACGAAGGUUGGGGGUUCAAAGAGGAUCAGAUACCCUCGUCGUCCCAUUCUUACAUCAAACGAUGGGCUCUCAAUUGCAAUCUUAUUUUUAUUUUAUAUAUUUUUUUUUUUUUAAAAAAAAAGGUAUAAUAUAAAAAUGAAAUGCUAUGUUACCCCUUUACCUAUUAAUUAAAAGGCUGAUCGCUGAGAUUUUUUUUUUUAAAAAACCUCGCUCGCCUUGAAUUUUUAUGUCGAAGGAUUAUAUGUAGUUAUUUUACUUUCAGGUGAUUUUGGUAUGUGAAUUCAUUUUUCUUAUUUUUUUUUAAAAAUAGAAAAACCACAUAUUAAUGAAUGUAUGAGCUUUGCGCUCUUUUUAUAUGGUGAGAUGUAAGCACAAGGUUCCAGCUUUUAACGUAAGCUAAAAAAUAAAAAAAAAAAAAAUAUUUUUUUUUUUUUUUUUUUUUUUUACCUUAUAUUUUUUAACGGCUGGACUAAUUUUUAUAUAUUGUGUGAGGCACGCUUUAGGCACGCGCUUACUGCAGAAAUGCCUGAGACAUUCCCCUCCGGGGGUAGUAUGCACGCAAGUGUGAAACUUGAAGGAAUUGACGGAAGGGCACCACAAGAACGCGUGGAGCAUGUGGCUUAAUUUGACUCAACGCGGGAAAUCUUACCGGGUCCGGACAUACUGAGGAUUGACAGGAGUCAGAGUAUUUUUUUUAUUUUUUAUUUUUUUUUUAAAAAUAAAAAAUAAUAUUUUACAAAAUACUCUCUAAAUAUGCUAGUCCUUUCAUGAUUGUGUGAUAGGUGGUGCAUGGCCGUUCUUAGUUCGUGAAGUGAUUUGUCUGCUUAAUUGCGUUUCUAUAUAAAAGUCUUUUACAAAAGUGAAAUUAUUUAUUUUUUUUUUUUUUUCGAAAAAAUAAAAUUUAAAAAAUCACUUUUUUUGUAAAGUAUACUUUUGAAGGCAACGAACGUGACCGCAGCCUUUUGUUGCUUUUUAUUUUUUUUUAUUUUUUAAAAAAAAAGUCAAAAAGGUUAACUAAAGGGACCGCUAGAUAUUCUUAAACUAGAGGAAGAAUGCGGCAAUAACAGGUCUGUGAUGCCCUUAGAUGUUCCGGGCCGCACACGUGCUACAAUGAUUAUUGCAGUUAGUAUCUAUUUAAAACAAAAAAUGGUUUUUUUUUUUUUAAAAAAAAUCAUUUUUUUAUUUUUUUGUAAAAUAAAAAUAAAAAUUUAUUUUUAUUUUUUUUUGCAAAAAAUGUAUUUCCUACAUUGAAAAUAAGUAGGUAAUCAAUUCCAAGUAAUGAUUUCCAUUUAAAAUCUUUUUUUAUGCGCACAAUAAAAAUACUAAAAAAAAAAAAAAAAAAAUAAAAUUUAUUUUAUUUUUUUUCUUUUUUUUUUUAUGUAUGUGCUCCAUUAGUUCGUGGUGGGGACAGACCAUUGUGAAUUGUUGGUCUCGGUCUCAACUAGGAAUGCCUUGUACGGGUCUUUGGUUCAACAUACCACCCGGAAUACGUCCCUGCCCUUUGUACACACCGCCCGUCGCUCUUACCGAUGAAGUUCUCUGUGAGUUUGAGGGACUGGCGAACAUCACUUUUUUUUUUUUUUAAAAAAAAAGCGUUUGCUAUGGAAACUCAUGCGAACAGCGUGGUUUAAAGGAAAGAGAAGUCGUAACAAGGCAUCGGUAGGUGAACCUGCAGAAGGAUCA
rnacentral:rRNA from 1 species